CAACAGUUGGAAACGUCUGCUAAUACCGCAUAAGCCCACGGCUCGGCAUCGAGCAGAGGGAAAAGGAGCAAUCCGUUUUGAGAUGGCCUCGCGUCCGAUUAGCUAGUUGGUGAGGUAACGGCCCACCAAGGCAACGAUCGGUAGCCGGACUGAGAGGUUGAACGGCCACAUUGGGACUGAGACACGGCCCAGACUCCUACGGGAGGCAGCAGUGGGGAAUAUUGCACAAUGGGGGAAACCCUGAUGCAGCGACGCCGCGUGGAGGAAGAAGGUCUUCGGAUUGUAAACUCCUGUUGUUGGGGAAGAUAAUGACGGUACCCAACAAGGAAGUGACGGCUAACUACGUGCCAGCAGCCGCGGUAAAACGUAGGUCACAAGCGUUGUCCGGAAUUACUGGGUGUAAAGGGAGCGCAGGCGGGAAGACAAGUUGGAAGUGAAAUCUAUGGGCUCAACCCAUAAACUGCUUUCAAAACUGUUUUUCUUGAGUAGUGCAGAGGUAGGCGGAAUUCCCGGUGUAGCGGUGGAAUGCGUAGAUAUCGGGAGGAACACCAGUGGCGAAGGCGGCCUACUGGGCACCAACUGACGCUGAGGCUCGAAAGUGUGGGUAGCAAACAGGAUUAGAUACCCUGGUAGUCCACACCGU
rnacentral:rRNA from 1 species